AGAGUUUGAUCAUGGCUCAGGAUGAACGCUAGCGGCAGGCCUAAUACAUGCAAGUCGAGGGGUAACGCGGUAGCAAUACUGGCGACGACCGGCGCACGGGUGCGUAACGCGUAUGCAAUUUGCCCAUAACAGGGGGAUAGCCCGGAGAAAUCCGGAUUAAUACCCCAUAGUAUAUUGGAGAGGCAUCUUUCUAAUAUUAAAGAUUUAUCGGUUAUGGAUGAGCAUGCGUCUGAUUAGCUAGUUGGUGAGGUAAUGGCUCACCAAGGCAACGAUCAGUAGGGGGUCUGAGAGGAUGAUCCCCCACACUGGUACUGAGAUACGGACCAGACUCCUACGGGAGGCAGCAGUAGGGAAUAUUGGGCAAUGGACGAGAGUCUGACCCAGCCAUGCCGCGUGUAGGAAGAAGGCUUUCUGAGUUGUAAACUACUUUUGAUUGGGAACAAAAGAUCCUUGCGAGGAGCAUUGAGUGUACCAAUAGAAUAAGCACCGGCUACUCCGUGCCAGCAGCCGCGGUAAUACGGAGGGUGCAAGCGUUGUCCGGAUUUAUUGGGUUUAAAGGGUGCGUAGGCGGCUAAUUAAGUCAGCGGUGAAAUUCUACAGCUUAACUGUUAGAACUGCCAUUGAUACUGGUUGGCUUGAGUACAGAUGAGGUAGGCGGAAUUGACAGUAGCGGUGAAAUGCUUAGAUAUUGUCAAGAACACCGAUUGCGAAGGCAGCUUACUAAACUGUAACUGACGCUGAGGCACGAAAGCGUGGGGAUCAAACAGGAUUAGAUACCCUAGUAGUCC
rnacentral:rRNA from 1 species